CAUUCGGAUUCCCACCUGCAUUUUAUUAUCGGAAUUAGCAAUGCAAUUCUGCGAGGCUUUUGGCAGUUACAUCAUCAACUCUUUUUAUGAUAUCAGUCCAAGCAAAAAAGCUUUCUUUUUUUCAUGAAUCAUGAUCGAGCUCAGUUUCUCAAACCUCUCCGCAUUUUUAUUCCUCGAUUCACUUCCCAGCGAUUCCAAAAGAAAAAUUUCAAGAAAAUCAUACAGUUGCUCGACCACCCAAAGCGACGAGUCCUUAUGGGCUGGUCAUUUUCUGAUGAAAUGUAUGUAACAAAGCACAGUAUGGCAAAUGUUAUUGCAAGAAUUUCAAGAAUUCCAAACACAAGUGCUGUUUGUUGUUUAAAUAUUUUUGGAUACAUAUGAAUUAAUCAAGAAUUUCAUAACAAAUAUUAAUUUUUUUUUGA